AAAAGAGUAAGGAAAGAACGUUAAGUGCUAGAAGGAUGGGAUGUUGCCUCUAGACGAAAAAACGGUAGUUUUGCGAUUCUUUCCUGCAUCCGCUUUA
rnacentral:ncRNA from 2 species